rnacentral:lncRNA from 1 species
AAAAGGGCAGAGAAGAGGAGCUGAAGAGCAAAGGUUGGAGAACGAAAGCUUGAAGCUCAAAGAUUCUGCCGGAUUGUUAAGGUAAGGGGGGUUUAUCGUCGAUUGAUGGGUAUUUUGGGAUAAUAUGUAAUGGGUAGUGAGAAACCGUUGAAUCGACCCUAAUUGGGAUUUGGAAUGCUGAAAAUUUGUGAUGAAUAGGUUGAGUG